AUCCAGUUGAAGAGUCCCGAAUACGACGAAACGCGAGUCAAACUGGAU
rfam:Schistosoma margrebowiei strain Zambia genome assembly, scaffold: SMRZ_scaffold0000652